rnacentral:rRNA from 1 species
GUUGUAUAGUCAAGUAAUUAAGUGCAUGUGGUGGAUGCCUUGGCAGUCAGAGGCGAUGAAAGACGUGAUAGCCUGCGAAAAGCUCCGGGGAGGCGGCAAAUAUCCUUUGAUCCGGAGAUGUCUGAAUGGGGGAACCCACCUACUUUAAGGUAGGUAUUGCAACAUGAAUACAUAGUGUUGCAAGGCGAACGAGGGGAAGUGAAACAUCUCAGUACCCUUAGGAAAAGAAAUCAAUUGAGAUUCCCUCAGUAGCGGCGAGCGAACGGGGGUCAGCCCAUUAAGUUAUGUGUGUUUUAGUGGAACGCUCUGGGAAGUGCGAACGUAG